rnacentral:rRNA from 1 species
UAACCUGCCCAAGAGAUCGGGAUAACACCUGGAAACAGAUGCUAAUACCGGAUAACAACGGAUGAUGCCUAUCAACUGUUUAAAAGAUGGUUCUGCUAUCACUCUUGGAUGGACCUGCGGUGCAUUAGCUAGUUGGUAGGGUAACGGCCUACCAAGGCGAUGAUGCAUAGCCGAGUUGAGAGACUGAUCGGCCACAUUGGGACUGAGACACGGCCCAAACUCCUACGGGAGGCAGCAGCU